UUGCAUUGGAUUGAAACUAGCCAUUUCGGGUAAUAACAAUAAUAAUAAAACUUACACUACCAAUAAUAUAAAGGGGAAAUGUAGGAUACCUCCCUAGUUUUUAAAAUAUAUAGGGAUAGGUCCUAUGAAUUUUCUUUUAUAGUCAAAAACUCAAAUUCUAAUCUUAAUUUGAUAGACCCCUAGACAAAUUAAAAUACCCGUUUUGCCCUUUUAGUUACAAUUUAAAACCCUAACCUUUUCUCUCACUCCCUCCCACAUUUUUUUCCAGCCGUCAUUUCUCCCUCUCCCGCUCUCUCUUCAUCUC
rnacentral:lncRNA from 1 species